rnacentral:rRNA from 1 species
CAGCAGCCACGGUAAUACGGAGGGUGCAAGCGUUAAUCGGAAUUACUGGGCGUAAAGCGCACGCAGGCGGUUUGUUAGGUCAGAUGUGAAAUCCCCGAGCUUAACUUGGGAACUGCAUUUGAAACUGGCAAGCUAGAGUCUUGUAGAGGGGGGUAGAAUUCCAGGUGUAGCGGUGAAAUGCGUAGAGAUCUGGAGGAAUACCGGUGGCGAAGGCGGCCCCCUGGACAAAGACUGACGCUCAGGUGCGAAAGCGUGGGGAGCAAACAGGAUUAGAUACCCCAGUAGUCCCUGUCUCUUAUAC